UUUGAUGCUAUCUCAUUCUUCAC
rnacentral:piRNA from 1 species